CUUUGUUCCGGUCUCGUCUUACCCGACCACUGUAUCUUAUGAUAGUAACACAGCAGCUGAGCAACUAAAGGCGACGGAAGACUUAGUUACAUUGUAUUUGACGCCUGAGGACGAUUUCACACAGUCACCCCCAUGGAGCAGAUACGUAUGUCCACACAAGCCUAAGAAGAGAUCUAGGAAGAGAUCUAUUGAGCCUGUGAAGCCAUACACGACCGGUCUCCCGCCCAAAAGAAGAAGCCCUUCCUUUGUUCCAGACACGCCUUACCCAGACACUGUAUCGGGUGUUCCUAACACCACUGCAGAGCAGCUAACGGCACGCAAAGACUUG